CUUGAGGGAAGUAGGGCCCUGUCCUUGACCACUUACCAGGGCCUGUCCCUCAUUCACCCGACCCAACUUUGCUGGGGGGUGUGAGGUGGGGUAAUUUAUUCAGUUCUAACCAGGAAAGGUAAAAUUAUAACAGGAUUAAUAACACAAGUGUCAUGGCCUUCCAAGGGCCCCAAGACGAUCCCAUCCCCCUUCCCUGCUCAGAACCUGCCUGUCCUGCACCCUGGCCUGUCCUCUGGAGGUUAUCUGAUGAGGGCCUAUUCUGAGGGGGGCCCAGGCCCCAGCUUCAGCAUCAAGCCACCCAGGACAUGCAUCUGGCCUUUUGGAAAAUAGCCUGGAGAAUGCAGAGGAGAGGCUGCAGUGAGUGGGCACUGACAACUGUCUGGGACUGGGUUGAAGUCUGGCCACAUUUCAAGGGAAUGGCCAUGAGUGUUCCCAUCACAGGAUCCCAGGAGCAGCAUUGUUAGAGCAGGGGCCUGGAAGUAUGGCUGAGGGUGCUGAGUGAGCAGGUCAGGCUGGCUGUGGCUGGAAAGAACCUGCUGUGGAUGAAGUUGACCUGGGACCCACGUGACCUGAGUGAAAAGAGCUAUGGGUUUGCAGGGGACACCGGUGCCCUGCUGCAGGUGGUUCUAGAGCUAGGUAUCCUGCAUCGUGACUUGAGCAAGUCAUGAACCCACUCUGAGCCUCAGUUUCCCACUCUGUUUUUGGUGUUUGGUUUGGUUUGGUUUUGAGACAGGGUCUCACCCUGUUGCCCAGGCUGGAGUCCAGUGGCACAAUCUCGGCUCACUGCAGCCUCUACCUCCUGAGCUCAAGCGAUCCUCCCACCUCAGUCUCCCAAGUAGCUGAGACUACAGGUGUGUGCCACCACACCCCACUAAUUUUUUGUACAGAUCUAGUUUCACCAUGUUGCCCAGGCUGGUCUGAACUCCUGGGCUCAAGCAAUUCUCCUCCCUCGGCCUCCCAAAGCACUGGGAUUACAGGCGUGAGCCACUGCACCGGGCCUCCACCUCUACUUUGGGGACAAUGUUAUCACUUGCCUUAUGGAAUCGUUGUAAGGAGGAAAUGUGUAGACUUGGUGAUUUUUGUUUCUCCUCGGAGUCUUCCCCUGGAUCCCAACUCACCCCUCCAGCUCCCACUUCACCAUGAGCCCAUGGAGACAUGAGCCCCAGAAGAGCUCUUUCUCUGGUCUCUAUUGCAGCAAGAAGUACCUGUGGGCACACUGGAGCAUAGGCCUUGAUGUUUGCAGUGCUCCAGGCAAAAGGACAAGUGGAGGCUCACAUACCAGAAUCUAAAUAUUAAACAACCAUAAAUCAAGCUGCUAAUGAAAUGUGUUCUAUCCUCCUACUGAACAAAUAAGCUUUCAUAGGAGUAAAAACAUCUGUAAAUCUACAGUUUUUAUAUAUCUGAAAGUCAGCAGAUAUCCAAAAUGAUGAAACUUAGUAAUUAUCACUCAUGUCCAGGUGUUCAGUGACCUGAGGUUUAAGUGAGAGAAUGAAGACUUGCCUGAUGCCUAAGAUAUUCUGUAUUUAUUCUGUAACAUUGAUUCUCCUCGUCUUUAGUCUAGUAAAAUGAUUGAUUAUGUUGUUACAGUCAAGACUUCUACACUAUUACUGUUCUUUUCAUAGUAAUGAUUAAAAAGAUUAAAAUAAGGCUGGGCAUGGUGGCUCACACAUGUAAUCCCAGAGCUUUGAGAAACCAAAGUGACAGGAUUGCUUGAGGCAGGAGUUCAAGUUUACAGUAAGCUAUGACUAUACUACUGUACUCCAGACUGGGCAACAGAGCAAGACCCUGUCUAUAAAAAAAAUAAUAAUUUUUAAAAAGACUAAAAUAAAAUAUUGGCCAGGUGUGGUGGCUCACACCUGU
rnacentral:lncRNA from 1 species